CAAGCUUACGUUCUGAGGGGCCGGAUUCUGCAAAUCGUUGCUUGCCCAGUCCUUACCUCUGAGAGCAGACAAGAGGGACAAUGUCUCAGGGGUGAGGUCCCCAACUCCCUCAGGCACCUUGAAAAUCCCAGCUACAAUCAAGAUCUGCAAAGGCAACACUGCUCUUGAGGAAAAGAUGCUCACGUGGUGUUGGAUGACAUAGCAGAUGGGCAAUGGGGGCUUUCACCAGUCGCUCGCCAGCUCUAAUCCAGGACAUCUUUGCGGAGUCUGACCGAGGAGAAGAAGAAGUGAUAGUAAUGGGGCAACUCACGGUGUCGGAUGCCAUCAGGUGGUCGAGGGACAUCUACAUAGAAUACAUCACUGGACAUCGGCAAUACCAGGAGGGAUGAGCUGGAGUGCAGAUGAGAAGCGCAGUCAGGAAAGUAACAAAUACUUUCCUCGUGGAUUGUAUUUUCUAAAUGGACAACCAACCUAAUUCUCAGGUGCUGAGGGACAAUCUCCACUCAUUGAUACAUUUUGCUUUCCACAACCAAAUCUCUGUCCAACUUUUCAUGAGCGAUGUACCCGAGUAUUCAGACUCUAAUAUCUAAACUGUGUUGUUAAAUCUAUUCACCUAAACUUGAGUUAUUGCUGAUUAUGUAACUCUAUGUAUCAUAUGACUUUAAAAACAAACUUUGUAUUGGUGGAUAA